UACAGAGGUCCCAAGCGUUGGUUCGGAUUCAUUGGGCGUAAAGGGUGCGUAGGCGGCGCGGUAAGUCGGGUGUGAAAUCUCGGAGCUUAACUCCGAAACUGCAUUCGAUACUGCCGUGCUUGAGGACUGGAGAGGAGACUGGAAUUUACGGUGUAAGCGGUGAAAUGCGUAGAUAUCGUAAGGAAGACCGAGUGGCGAAGGCGGGUCUCUGGACAGUUCCUGACGCUGAGGCACGAAGGCCAGGGGAGCAAACGGG
rnacentral:rRNA from 1 species